GUUUACUAAGUGGUAGGAGAGCGUUCUAUUUGCGUCGAAGGUAUACCGGUAAGGAGUGCUGGAGCGAAUAGAAGUGAGCAUGCAGGCAUGAGUAGCGAUAAUUAAUGUGAGAAUCAUUAACGCCGUAAACCCAAGGUUUCCUACGCGAUGCUCGUCAUCGUAGGGUUAGUCGGGUCCUAAGUCGAGUCCGAAAGGGGUAGACGAUGGCAAAUUGGUUAAUAUUCCAAUACCAACAUUAGUGUGCGAUGGAAGGACGCUUAGGGCUAAGGGGGCUAGCGGAUGGAAGUGCUAGUCUAAGGUCGUAGGAGGUUGUACAGGCAAAUCCGUAUAACAAUACUCCGAGAACUGAAAGGCUUUUUGAAGUCUUCGGAUGGAUAGAAGAACCCCUGAUGCCGUCGAGCCAAGAAAAGUUUCUAAGUUUAGCUAAUGUUGCCCGUACCGUAAACCGACACAGGUGGGUGGGAUGAGUAUUCUAAGGCGCGUGGAAGAACUCUCUUUAAGGAACUCUGCAAAAUAGCACCGUAUCUUCGGUAUAAGGUGUGGUUAGCUUUGUAUUAGGAUUUACUCCGAAAGCAAGGAAACUUACAACAAAGAGUCCCUCCCGACUGUUUACCAAAAACACAGCACUCUGCUAACUCGUAAGAGGAUGUAUAGGGUGUGACGCCUGCCCGGUGCUCGAAGGUUAAUUGAUGGGGUUAGCAUUAGCGAAGCUCUUGAUCGAAGCCCGAGUAAACGGCGGCCGUAACUAUAACGGUCCUAAGGUAGCGAAAUUCCUUGUCGGUUAAAUACCGACCUGCAUGAAUGGCGUAACGAGAUGGGAGCUGUCUCAAAGAGGGAUCCAGUGAAAUUGUAGUGGAGGUGAAAAUUCCUCCUACCCGCGGCAAGACGGAAAGACCCCGUGGACCUUUACUACAGCUUGACACUGCUACUUGGAUAAGAAUGUGCAGGAUAGGUGGGAGGCUUUGAGUAUAUGACGCCAGUUGUAUAUGAGCCAUUGUUGAGAUACCACUCUUUCUUAUUUGGGUAGCUAACCAGCUUGAGUUAUCCUCAAGUGGGACAAUGUCUGGUGGGUAGUUUGACUGGGGCGGUCGCCUCCCAAAUAAUAACGGAGGCUUACAAAGGUUGGCUCAGAACGGUUGGAAAUCGUUCGUAGAGUAUAAAGGUAUAAGCCAGCUUAACUGCAAGACAUACAAGUCAAGCAGAGACGAAAGUCGGUCUUAGUGAUCCGGUGGUUCUGUGUGGAAGGGCCAUCGCUCAAAGGAUAAAAGGUACCCCGGGGAUAACAGGCUGAUCUCCCCCAAGAGCUCACAUCGACGGGGAGGUUUGGCACCUCGAUGUCGGCUCAUCGCA
rnacentral:rRNA from 1 species